GACGAACGCUGGCGGCGUACCUAAUACAUGCAAGUAGAACGCACAGUUUAUACCGUAGCUUGCUACACCAUAGACUGUGAGUUGCGAACGGGUGAGUAACGCGUAGGUAACCUGCCUGGUAGCGGGGGAUAACUACUGGAAACGAUAGCUAAUACCGCAUAAUAUUGAUUAUUGCAUGAUAAUUGAUUGAAAGAUGCUAUUGCAUCACUACCAGAUGGACCUGCGUUGUAUUAGCUAGUAGGUGAGGUAACGGCUCACCUAGGCGACGAUACAUAGCCGACCUGAGAGGGUGAUCGGCCACACUGGGACUGAGACACGGCCCAGACUCCUACGGGAGGCAGCAGUAGGGAAUCUUCGGCAAUGGACGAAAGUCUGACCGAGCAACGCCGCGUGAGUGAAGAAGGGUUUCGGAUCGUAAAGCUCUGUUGUAAGAGAAGAACGGGUGUGAGAGUGGAAAGUUCACACUGUGACGGUAUCUUACCAGAAAGGGACGGCUAACUACGUG
rnacentral:rRNA from 1 species